ACUUUGAUGAUUUUAAUAGGAAGAUUCAGGAAGUAACUUGGUUCAUACAACCUUUAAAUCAAAGAUUAAUGGACAGAAAAAAUACCUAAAAAGUGAAUUAAGUAAUAAUGCAGAAAGAGAAGAGCACAAAGUCGGGGAAGAACUUAUUUAACAUAACACAAUUCUAGUAUCAAGUUUUCUGAUUUUAAAGCCACUACAAUGCUUACAAUAUAUUUGGCUUUUGUAGUAUUAUGUGAACUCUGG
rnacentral:misc_RNA from 1 species